GGUUAUUGGGGCAGGUAGCAUAGCGGUUAUUGGGGCAGGUAGCAUAGCGGUUAUUGGGGCAGGUAGCAUAGCGGUUAUUGGGGCAGGUAGCAUAGCGGUUAUUGGGGCAGGUAGCAUAGCGGUUAUUGGGGCAGGUAGCAUAGCGGUUAUUGGGGCAGGUAGCAUAGCGGUUAUUGGGGCAGGUAGCAUAGCGGUUAUUGGGGCAGGUAGCAUAGCGGUUAUUGGGGCAGGUAGCAUAGCGGUUAUUGGGGCAGGUAGCAUAGCGGUUAUUGGGGCAGGUAGCAUAGCGGUUAU